UAGAGAGAUUCAGGGUAUGAAUGAUUAAUGAAUGAAGUAGAAUUCUCUGUGUGCGCUGUUUGUUUUUUUCUGAAGUAUGCAUUGCUUAUUUGCUUUUUGCUUGUCUUAUAAUACAAAAAGGUAACAACGUAACUGACAUGAUUGCAACUAAUAAUGCAUUCAUUCAUCUUAGUUUGUCUUAAUAUAUAGAUUCGAAUGAAUUCAGCGAUUGUAUUAUGUUGGUAACUAAAGUGAAGCCAAUUACAAAAAAGGGAAGUCAUCUUCCCCAAGGAAUAAUAAAGCCAUAUAUAUAUGCAUCAUAUCAUCCUUAUCUUUAGGCCUCCUUUUGACCUCUUGUCACUUCCAAUUAUAUAAUAUAAGUUGAGCCAAGACAUAGAUUGAGUGAUGGACACAUUUGGAUCGGUGGAGCUUGAUUUCUCUUCAUAUAUCCAGCAGCAGCAGCAACAGCAGGGUUUCAAUGGGGUUUCUUUGACUCUAGGGUUACAACAGCACGGUGGAAGCGGGUGAGCCUGGCAUUCCCUCCUCCUUCGGUGAGCAGUCAUCAUAGCUCGCUCUUCUAUGCAACAACCAUUGAUGCUGCUAUGCCUACUAUUGUUGGAAUGGCACCGAAAAAUCAGGAUGCCAUUGAUGCUGCUAUUGUUGGAAUGCUUGCAGAUCCCAAAGAGGCAAGGGCUAGAAUCAGAUAUGUUCACUUUUUACCUUUCAAUCCUGUUGACAAGAGAACUUCUCUGACUUACAUUGAUGCUGAUGGAAACUGGUACUGUGCCAGCAAAGGCGCUCCGGAGCAGAUCAUGAACUUGUGUAAUCUAAGGGAUGAUGCUAAGAAGAAGGUUCAUGCCAUUAUUGAUAAGUUCGCCGAAAAAGGCCUUCGUUCCCUAGCCAUUUCAAGACAGGAAGUUCCUUCUUGGCAAGACAAAGAUGCAAGUAUCGCCACACUUCCCGUCGAAGAGUUAAUUGAGAAAGCCAAUGGAUUUGCCGGAAUCUUUCCAGAGCCUCAAAAACUGUUACAACGGGAAGAAUCUUUUAACAGUUGAAAAAUAGUGGCUCAACAGUAACAUUACUAAUUUCUUCAAAAGUUUUGAUGGGUCGUCUUUCUUCAAUGUUCAAUGGGUUGGCAAAAUCACUGACAAUUAAGAAAGGGAGGAAUUCAGAAAGAUGCAGCGGAAGAGAAGCGGCGCAGAAGGAAGCAAAAAAGAAUGAGUUCUUAUUAUGUAGCUCAGGUAAUAUUUAUUUACACGGACAUGAACAAUGAAAAUGUUGGAAGGGCCUGAAGCAAACUUUUUGAGCAUCUCUAGGAAAACUCCCAAUCUAAUAGAACUAACAAUAUUUCUUAGUUUGAUACUUUGUAUAGGAGUUGUUACUUUUGAUUCGCAAUACUAAAAAAUCAUAUAUUAUGUUUAAUACUUUGAGUUAUAUAAUAUUUUGUCCAUGGAUUAUGAUUU